rnacentral:lncRNA from 1 species
GAAAAAGCCCUUACCUUGUACGCUUUCUAACUUUAAACGAUCAAGUGCUUAGUGCUCCCUUUUAUUUAAAAUUUCCGUCACGUAGAAAUGUCCAAGAUAAGUGGUAGUAAAAACAGAGUGAUGAUUUUGUUUGUGUAUUUUUUUUCUUUUCACGUGUGAGAUAUGAGAUGAGUUUGUGAGUAUUUAUAGGAGUGGAAGUUGGGAAAUAAG